GUGAGUAAAGCUCAGUGGUAGAGCUCAUGCUUAGCACGCAUGAGGUCCUGGGUUCAAUGCCCAGGACCUCCA
rnacentral:tRNA from 1 species